UUGACAGUUUUGGAAACUGAAGAACUCUGAUUAUCCACAGAACAGGAACAUAUUGGCCAGUGGCAAUACAUGUCAUUUCAUACUGCUUUGCCAUUGUGCCACAGAUACUUUCUUAGGACCUCAUGCAGCAGAAAGGUUUUAAGGCUCCUUUUUCACUCAUUGUUCGGUAAGA
rnacentral:sRNA from 1 species